AUGCGUUUUAACGUUGUCGCGCGGUAACAGUUUUUCAGAUAUAGAGGAUGGGAUAGAACAAGAUGAGUUGGAAGCAGAUGAAGAAUCUAAAUCAGUUGUACUCGAGGUAGAACAUUUGGAACCCUUUUUUCUGCUAUUACAGGUACACUUCACGUGUAAAUGCCUAGUAAUUCUAGCGAUUCUACAUUUUUCACAUUGACUGAUGGGACGACCUUUAGGUCUAAUAGGAAAGAGUUCACGGUCAUUAUGUUUGCAGGUGCUAGAGCGAUGCCCACGAAUGCACUUCAUGCAUGCCAUUUUAACGUUAUUGAUUACAACCAUUUUGGAAUAUAGGAUGAAAGAGGAUUGCUUUAAUGACAAGAUUUUGGUUAAAACAAAUUCACGUUCGAAGAUGAAUGACCAAAUCUCUCAAAUGGAAGCUCAAUGGGAGGAUGUAGAAGUAAUGAA